rnacentral:rRNA from 1 species
UACAGAGGGUGCAAGCGUUGUUCGGAAUUAUUGGGCGUAAAGGGCGCGUAGGCGGUUUGACAAGUCUGAUGUGAAAUCUAUGGGCUCAACCCAUAGCCUGCAUUAGAAACUGUCGGGCUUGAGUAUGGGAGAGGUGAGUGGAAUUUCCGGUGUAGCGGUGAAAUGCGUAGAUAUCGGAAGGAACACCUGUGGCGAAAGCGGCUCACUGGACCAUAACUGACGCUGAGGCGCGAAAGCUAGGGGAGCAAACAGG